rnacentral:rRNA from 1 species
AACGAACGCUGGCGGCAUGCCUAACACAUGCAAGUCGAACGAGACCUUCGGGUCUAGUUGCGCACGGGUGCGUAACGCGGGGGAACCUGCCCUUAGGUUCGGAAUAACUCCCCGAAAGGGGUGCUAAUACAGGAUAAUGUCUUCGGACCAAAGAUUUAUCGCCUUUGGAUGGGGCCGCGUUGGAUUAGCUAGUUGGUAGGGUAAAAGCCUACCAAGGCGACGAUCCAUAGCUGGUCUGAGAGGAUGAUCAGCCACACUGGGACUGAGACACGGCCCAGACUCCUACGGAAGGCAGCAGUGGGGAAUAUUGGACAAUGGGCGAAAGCGUGAUCCAGCAGUGCCGCGUGAGUCAUGAAGGCCUUAGGGUUGUAAAGCUCUUUUACCCGGGAUGAUAAUGACAGUACCGGGAGAAUAAGCUCCGGCUAACUCCGUG